rnacentral:tRNA from 1 species
GCCCCCAUAGUUCAAUGGAUAGAAUACGAGCUUGCGGAGCUCGUGAUCGGGGUUCAAAUCCUCGUGGGGGCA